CAGUCGCCACGGGAAUACGUAGGCAGCGAGCGUUGUUCGGAAUUACUGGGCGUAGAGAGUGUGUAGGCGGUGCUCUAAGUUUGGUGUGAAAUCUCCUGGCUUAACUGGGAGGGUGCGCCGAAGACUGGAGUGCUCGAACGUGGGAGAGGAAAGCGGAAUUCCUGGUGUAGCGGUGAAAUGCGUAGAUAUCAGGAGGAACACCUGCGGUGUAGACGGCUUUCUGGACCAUUGUUGACGCUGAGACACGAAAGCGUGGGGAGCAAACAGGAUUAGAUACCCCAGUAGUCCCUGUCUCUUAUAC
rnacentral:rRNA from 1 species